UCGGGCACAACAUUGAAAUAACAACAUUGUUCAAAAAUGCGUACUUUUAUCAUAGUUCUUGUUGCGGUAAUUUGCUGUUAGGUUGUUUGUACCAAUGCAGCUGCACUGCCAGAAUAUUCUGAAGAAAAUCGCAAUGAAAUAACAACAGAUGAUAUAGUCGAACAAAAUAAUGAAGUUGAACCACAAAUUAAGGAUCAUGAAAAAAUUAAUCCACAACGUCGUACCCUAUUCCUUCUGCUACCUCUACUGUUUCCCGAUCAAUUUUAUUUCUCUUGAAUUUGACUUGAAAACUUGAAAAUUUAAAGACGAUUACUUGGACCGGAUUUUUAUGCUAAUUUCAAAAAUAUAAUAAACGAAAUAAACGAAGAAAUAAUAUAUCA
rnacentral:sRNA from 1 species